rnacentral:rRNA from 1 species
GGAGUUUGAUCCUGGCUCAGGAUGAACGCUGGCGGCGUGCUUAACACAUGCAAGUCGAACGGUGAAGCCCAGCUUGCUGGGUGGAUCAGUGGCGAACGGGUGAGUAACACGUGAGCAAUCUGCCCCUGACUCUGGGAUAAGCGCUGGAAACGGCGUCUAAUACUGGAUACGAGCCGUGACCGCAUGGUCAAUGGUUGGAAAGAUUUUUCGGUCAGGGAUGAGCUCGCGGCCUAUCAGCUUGUUGGUGAGGUAAUGGCUCACCAAGGCGUCGACGGGUAGCCGGCCUGAGAGGGUGACCGGCCACACUGGGACUGAGACACGGCCCAGACUCCUACGGGAGGCAGCAGUGGGGAAUAUUGCACAAUGGGCGGAAGCCUGAUGCAGCAACGCCGCGUGAGGGAUGACGGCCUUCGGGUUGUAAACCUCUUUUAGCAGGGAAGAAGCGUGAGUGACGGUACCU